CACGCACCAUGCAAGCGCGAGUUUAAAGCUUCCUGAAGAGAAAACUUCGUCGUUUGAUCAGGAUUCAGACGGAAAAGAAGCAAAUAUUUAUCGAGACUAUGACAGACUUUAUGAGUUGGACUUCUGUUCAAGUUUGCCAGUGGCUAAAAGAUAUUGAAUUGGGGGAAUUCUGUGAACCUUUUUUGGGUAAGGUUCAAGUAUUGUGGCCUAACUGCCAUGUAAGAACAUUCACUUACAACAAAUAGCUCAGACACCUGCAGUAUUUCCAUGAAAGUGAGCCACAUUUCUUUGUUGUAUGUGGACACAGUGGCUGCCAAAAAAGGUACAAAAGAGUAAGUUCUUUACGUAUCCAUGUUUUUCGGACUCAUAAAAUCUUGAGAGAAAUAGAGGAUUUUGUAAAUUUUGAAUAUGUAAAUUAAAAUAAAUCUUUAAAGUAGUAUUCUACUCUAGUAUUGUGCCUUAUUAAAACAUAAAAUGGCAUAGUUGACUGGAACAGGUUAUAAUGUCAUUGAUCACUUUAGUAUUGACAUUUAUUUGUUACAUUUUAUUGACAACCUUCAUUUAUGACAAUUUAACUACCUUUAAUAGGUAGAUGCCGGAGAAGAUGAACGAAGCAUCAGGCAACAUCUGCGAGCAAUGAAGUCGAAACUGAGAAGCUUCGACCAAAUAUAGUGCUCCUAAAAGAAAAGUUGGCACUGAUUAAAUGCUACCAAAUAAAUUUUGUGUCCAACCACAGCACAGAGGAGACUCUCUCUGAGUUCCCGUGUUUUAGACUGGCCAAAAUACUACUUUGGAUAAUGAGAGAGCACACGUCUGUUGAUGUGGACCAACAACUUCUUGCGCAGCUGUCUGUAAUGGCACCUCGAGUCUUUGAAGUUUCACAGAGUCCCCUGAAAGAGAGAUGCAGCCGCAAAAUUGAGGACUGUGUAGAUGGCAGUCCUUAAAAAGGCCUACUGUUGGAAGCAGCUAUUUUGCUCUUACCUGCACUGUUCAAGGAGGACCCAGGGUUGCUGCUUGAGGGAUAUACUCAGACCAGCCCUUCUGAAAUCCCAACACCCAAAAUGCUGCUUAAGGAGGCAUUGGGAGGCAGGGAGGGCUCAUCCCAUGCAGUAUGACCACAUUGUUUUAGUGUUGGAUGGCCAUUUAAUUACAGAGGAAAGUGAGGACAUCUCCAUGGCACCGGGCCUCCUCCUGUGUGUGUAUUUUCCAUUUGGAAUCCAGUAUCCUAAAGGACUAAAAAAGACACUGAUCUUUUUGGAGUGUGUUGUUUUAAAAUUGAAGGAUCCAGCUGGACUUCCUGUCACUGUAAAAAGGGUGUACAAAUCAAUCUGUGAGUAGAUUUAGGGGUCAAUAUUAUUUCUUUCUGCAUCUUUUGGCUUCUUCCAGUUCUAGUUCAAGUUUCCCUGUAUAUGUCUGUUUGCAAUUGGUUGUGUAUGAUACAUGUCUUGUCAUUUCACUAAUUUAUUUAUUGUUCAAAAGAAUUCAAGAAGCAGAACUUGUCUAUGUAGUAUCUGUGGCUAAUGUAAAAAUGAUUUAGAUUUUCAAAUUAAGAGCUAAUGUAGCCUCAAGCCAGUAGCCAAAAAGAGCUUACAGGGUUACAGUAUGCAUGUAUCAAUUUGUAUGAAUAUAAGUAGUGCUAUUCAAAUUUUUUAUUGCCUG